GAGAUCAACAGAUAGCAGUAUUUAUAAGUGUUUAUAUUUAUAUGUAAUUAUAUUCCCUCUAUGUUUGUGACAUGUUUUUGAAAGUAAAGAAAUUCAAGUUUUCUCACUUUACUUCUAAAUUCUUCCAUUGCAUUUUUUUAACCACCUCUACACUUGGUCCAAAAUCUUUCAGCUGCAAGGCCACCCACGAUUCAGUGAGAAUUGACUUGUUCACUUCAGAUGAAAAUAUUUUUUUUGAGAUGGCAGAAUUUUGGUAAUAUGGUGGUUUAGCUCGGCAGAAGUUAGUAAAGGAAAAAGAUUUGGGAGAAUGAAUUAGAUGUACUGAAGAGGAAUAAAAAUGUGCCGAUCAGUGUAUGGCAAAAUUUGGAAAACCAAAUUAGGAGUUUAUGGUUUGAUUAAAGGGGAAUCUGUGCAAGGGUUAUUUGUGGAACUAUAUUCUAUAUAUGAACUAUAGGUCAGAUUCCUGGCACAUUAUUACUAUUAUUAUUUAUAAAGCGCCAACAAGUUCCGUAGCGCUGUACAAUUGGUGGAAUAACAGACACGUAUUUGUUACCAGACAAGUGUAAUGCACAGGAACAGAGGGGUUGAGGGCCCUGCUCAAUGAGCUUACAUGCUAGAGGGAGUGGGAUAUAGUGACACAAAAGGUAAGGGUAGGGUAGAAAGGGAAUUAAACUGGGGAG